UACGUAGGGGGCAAGCGUUGUCCGGAUUCAUUGGGCGUAAAGAGCGUGUAGGCGGCCAGGUAGGUCGGUUGUGAAAACUGGAGGCUCAACCUUCAGAGGUCGACCGAAACCAUCUGGCUAGAGUCCGGGAGAGGAGAGUGGAAUUCCUGGUGUAGCGGUGAAAUGCGCAGAUAUCAGGAGGAACACCUGUGGCGAAAGCGGCUCACUGGACCAUAACUGACGCUGAUGCACGAAAGCUAGGGGAGCAAACAGG
rnacentral:rRNA from 1 species